rnacentral:rRNA from 1 species
CUACAGAGGGUGCAAGCGUUAAUCGGAAUUACUGGGCGUAAAGCGCGCGUAGGCGGUUUGUUAAGUUGGAUGUGAAAGCCCCGGGCUUAACCUGGGAGGGUCAUUCAAAACUGGCAGACUAGAGUGUGGUAGAGGGUAGUGGAAUUCCUAGUGUAGCGGUGAAAUGCGUAGAGAUUAGGAGGAACACCAGUGGCGAAGGCGACUGCCUGGACCAACACUGACGCUGAGGUGCGAAAGCGUGGGUAGCGAACAGGAUUAGAAACCCCAGUAGUCC